rnacentral:rRNA from 1 species
UACGGAGGGUGCAAGCGUUAUCCGGAUUCACUGGGCGUAAAGGGCGCGUAGGUGGGUUGGUAAGUCAGGGGUGAAAUCCCCGAGCUUAACUUGGGAACUGCCAUUGAUACUAUCAGUCUUGAAUAUUGUGGAGGUUAGCGGAAUAUGUCAUGUAGCGGUGAAAUGCUUAGAUAUGACAUAGAACACCAAUUGCGAAGGCAGCUGGCUACGCAUAUAUUGACACUGAGGCACGAAAGCGUGGGGAUCAAACAGG